AAUGUUAAUUUAUAUUCGAGUAUGUAUACCUACUUUAAAUACCUAGGGAACGAAAAAAUUAUUUUCGACAUUUCGAAACCCAUAUAUUAUACCCAGGAAUAAAACCACCCGCGUUAGUUUUCACUCUUUUAAAUGCUUAGUGGAGUGAGGAUUGUGUUGGUUUUAAUGUGAUGUAUCUAUGAUGUGUGGUGUUUUUUUUUUUGACGUAACUUUUCUACCAAUAAUUUUUUCAAUGCUUCGUUCUCCGAAGACGGAGAAAUGAUUGCAUCACUGACAUGUGACGUAAAAAACAUAAAAAACUUCACUCUCCGUAGCAGCCAUCACACAGUGGUACAUUUGCGCGUCCAACCCGACACGGGCUGUAACGAACAGUGAUUCGAUUUGUUUGAAUCAUAAUUAUAUUCCGGGUUCGUACACCAGAACGCUGAUAUUUUGAAAAAAACGUCUACUUCAGGUAUUAUAACUUUGACACUCACGGUCGCAUUUAUCGUUAUAUCUAAGGAUCAAAAUCCCAGAAAAUUUCGGAUAAAGAUCCG